rnacentral:rRNA from 1 species
AGAGUUUGAUCCUGGCUCAGGAUGAACGCUGGCGGCGUGCUUAACACAUGCAAGUCGAACGAACCUUCGGGUUAGUGGCGGACGGGUGAGUAACGCGUGAGAAUCUGCCCUCAGGAGGGGGAUAACGGCUGGAAACGGCCGCUAAUACCCCAUAUGCCGAGAGGUGAAACGAGUUUUCGCCUGAGGAUGAGCUCGCGUCUGAUUAGCUAGUUGGUGGGGUAAGAGCCUACCAAGGCAUCGAUCAGUAGCUGGUCUGAGAGGAUGAUCAGCCACACUGGGACUGAGACACGGCCCAGACUCCUACGGGAGGCAGCAGUGGGGAAUUUUCCGCAAUGGGCGAAAGCCUGACGGAGCAACGCCGCGUGAGGGAUGAAGGCCUCUGGGCUGUAAACCUCUUUUAUCAAGGAAGAAGAUCUGACGGUACUUGAUGAAUAAGCCACGGCUAAUUCCGUGCCAGCAGCCGCGGUAAUACGGGAGUGGCAAGCGUUAUCCGGAAUUAUUGGGCGUAAAGCGUCCGCAGGCGGCCUGAUAAGUCUGUUGUCAAAGCGUGGAGCUCAACUCCAUUUCGGCAAUGGAAACUGUGAGGCUUGAGUGUGGUAGGGGCAGAGGGAAUUCCCGGUGUAGCGGUGAAAUGCGUAGAUAUCGGGAAGAACACCAGUGGCGAAGGCGCUCUGCUGGGCCAUAACUGACGCUCAUGGACGAAAGCCAGGGGAGCGAAAGGGAUUAGAUACCCCUGUAGUCCUGGCCGUAAACGAUGAACACUAGGUGUCGGGGGAAUCGACCCCCUCGGUGUCGUAGCCAACGCGUUAAGUGUUCCGCCUGGGGAGUACGCACGCAAGUGUGAAACUCAAAGGAAUUGACGGGGGCCCGCACAAGCGGUGGAGUAUGUGGUUUAAUUCGAUGCAACGCGAAGAACCUUACCAGGGUUUGACAUCCUGCGAAUCCCUUGGAAACGAGGGAGUGCCUUCGGGAGCGCAGAGACAGGUGGUGCAUGGCUGUCGUCAGCUCGUGUCGUGAGAUGUUGGGUUAAGUCCCGCAACGAGCGCAACCCACGUCUUUAGUUGCCAGCAUUGAGUUGGGCACUCUAGAGAGACCGCCGGUGAUAAACCGGAGGAAGGUGUGGAUGACGUCAAGUCAUCAUGCCCCUUACAUCCUGGGCUACACACGUACUACAAUGCUACGGACAAAGGGCAGCAAACUCGCGAGAGCUAGCAAAUCCCAUAAACCGUGGCUCAGUUCAGAUCGUAGGCUGCAACUCGCCUACGUGAAGGAGGAAUCGCUAGUAAUCGCAGGUCAGCAUACUGCGGUGAAUACGUUCCCGGGCCUUGUACACACCGCCCGUCACACCAUGGAAGUUGGCCACGCCCGAAGCCGUUACUCCAACCCUUGUGGAGGAGGACGUCGAAGGUGGGGCUGAUGACUGGGGUGAAGUCGUAACAAGGUA